rnacentral:rRNA from 1 species
GAUGAACGCUGGCGGCGUGCCUAAUACAUGCAAGUCGAGCGAAUGGAUUAAGAGCUUGCUCUUAUGAAGUUAGCGGCGGACGGGUGAGUAACACGUGGGUAACCUGCCCAUAAGACUGGGAUAACUCCGGGAAACCGGGGCUAAUACCGGAUAACAUUUUGAACCGCAUGGUUCGAAAUUGAAAGGCGGCUUCGGCUGUCACUUAUGGAUGGACCCGCGUCGCAUUAGCUAGUUGGUGAGGUAACGGCUCACCAAGGCAACGAUGCGUAGCCGACCUAAGAUGGUGAUCGGCCACACUGGGACUGGGACACGGCCCAGACUCCUACGGGAGGCAGCAGUAGGGAAUCUUCCGCAAUGGACGAAAGUCUGACGGAGCAACGCCGCGUGAGUGAUGAAUGCUUUCGGGUCGUAAAACUCUGUUGUUAGGGAAGAACAAGUGCUAGUUGAAUAAGCUGGCACCUUGACGGUACCUAACCAGAAAGCCACGGCUAACUACGUGCCAGCCGCCGCGGUAA